CCGCAGUCUCAAGCUGCCUGCUUCCCUGGGCUCAGUUAACAACAAUGCAGGGAUGGCAGGAGAGGGCAACCUGUACGCAGAACAGGCACCCAAAUCUCUUUCUGGUGAGAGCUUCUGGGGUCCCUGCAGGACAGAUGAUCUGGAGGGCAGGAGGGACACGUGCUGAGAUGCCACAUGGGAGAAUAGGGGAUGCAGAGGCUGAGCCCUCUCUCCCAACCCAUUAGAGAGACUUCAGAUGAUGAAGAUGAAGAAACUCUCACAACAGGAUUGAUGUGGAGGUCAGCUAAGCCAGGUGUCCAGAAUGUGUUCACAGACCUGGCCUCUUGGGAAUGCCCCAGACCUGGAAUUCUCCGUGGCUUGCCUAGAUGCCCUGACUGUGCUAUAACGUGAGAGUGGCAGGGAGGUUUUAGAGUUACAUUUAUAUGGAUAUCAGCCUACUCUACUAAGUCAAUGAAAAACUACCACUGAAAACCAUGGCCUUGUGAAGAAAAUAACGAUGACUUGUUUGCCUAGCCUUUGUUCUAUUUAAUUUAUUUUCACAGAACAAUGCCUCCAGAUCAGCUUUUGAAAACUCACCUGCAAAUUGACAUGACUGUUUACCUGUUUGAAUUUGGGUGGACAAUCAUGGACAUUCCAAAUUGAGACCCACAAGGGUUUAUGACUACAUUGUCAAUGAGUGAUGAGCCUGCUGGAAAUAAUAGGACUGAUUCAGGACCAGUGAAAGAAGAUACACAAACCCAAGACGUGCAUUUUCAGAAGGAACGCUUAUGUCACUCAACAAACAUUUGUUGAGUUUUCACUAGGUGUUAGGUGCUGUGCUAGUUAGAGAUGCUGACCCUACCCAAGACAAUGAAGAUCUCAUUUUCUCAGUCCAAUUGAUGAAAAGUUAAACAUCAGCUCUAGAAAUCAAGACUGAGAAGAUGAGUUCAUGUAACUGUCCCUAGAUGAAUUCUUAUCUUCUUGGUCAGUAAGGCAGGGUCCUUGAAGCUAAAAGAUACAUUUUUUUUUUUUUUGAGAUGGAGUGUCACUAUUGUUGCCCAGGCUGGAGUGCAGUGGCGCGAUCUUGGCUCACUGCAAUCUCUGCUUCCCAGGUUCAAGCGAUUCUCCUGCCUCAGCCUCCUAAGUAGCUGGAAUUACAGGUGUCCGCCACCACGCCUGGCUAAUUUUGUAUUUUUAGUAAAGACAGGUUUCAUCAUGUUGGCCAGGCUGGUCUCGAACUCCUGACCUCAAGUGAUUCACCUGCGUCGGCCUCCCAAGUGCUGAGAUUACAGGUGUGAGCCACUGCUCCUGGCCCUAAAAGAAACACUUUUGAAAACAUUAAAUAGAACAGCACAGCACAUAGAAGAAAGGUGUGGAAGAUAUUCGAGGGAUAAUAACUUGCAGUGAUCUCAUCUCAAUGAUGCCCACACAUCAGUGACCACCUUUCAGCUCCACUACCUUUGGAUUAUGUACACGAGAAGAAGUCAGCACAGCAGUGAUUUGAAGUGUCUUCCUCUAACAUACAGAAUGUUUUUUCUUUGCCUCAAAAUCAUCUAAGAGCUGAGGUCAUCUACCACCUGUGGGGCUUGAAAUACCAAAAUGAAAAAACUUCCCCAGGAAUGAGCACCAAACAAAAUUUGCUGGGUAGCAGAAAGGUAAUGAUCUCUGAUAAGGAAAAGCACUAACAGGGAACUGGGUCUCCACACUUCGUAAACUGCCCAAGAAGUCUUCCAUCCUCCCUUGCUUUCCCACUGGGUGAAUUCCUCAGAAGAAGCAACUUCAGAAUGUCACUGCUUGCUGUCUGAGCUGUGCCACAAUGCCUCUGAAUUAGCCUGAGAAGCCUUGGUCAGGAAAAGCAAAGAAAUCAGAAUUGCAGGAUAAGGCUUCUCCCAAAAGACUCUCAAGAAGUGUCCUUUCUAUCUGUACAGAUCAGAGUGUUUGGACACUGUGCAGAAGUCUCAUGAAAAAACAUGUAACUUUAUCCUGAAGACAUCUCAGCUUCCCUUUUUAUGUGGAUGAUCAAGGGUGUCUGCAAGUCUGGGAAAAAGGGAUAGAGGAGAAUUAACAGCCAAUACUCCAGGGCCUGGCUUACUGAUAGGGAAAUGGCUGUGAUGACAGAGGAAUCUGGGGAGGCAGGAGGAGCUUGACAGAAACAAAUGGAUGUCCCAAAUAGG
rnacentral:lncRNA from 1 species